AUGUCGGAGGACGCCAGGUUCAGCAUGAGACACACGUUCAAUGGGGAAAGUGAAUGUGUCCAGUCUACUGGAGUUCCAGAGUGUACCAGUAGGGGGCAUCAGUUCCAUGUCUCUGUUAUCAUUCCCCUCUGUGUCUGUCUGGAGGUUUUUGUCCAGCCAGUCAAUCAGAAUCUAUCACUGUGGUGGACUUUCGGUGGAGGGACCAAACUGAGUGUUGGCAGUGACGUUCGUCCCACCCUGACAGUCCUGCCCCCCUCCAGUGUGGAGCUGCAGCAGGGGAAGGCCACUCUCAUGUGCCUGGCCAACAAGGGCUUCCCCUCAGACUGGAAGCUGAGCUGGAAGGUGGACGGCAGCAGCAGCAACACCUGGGAGGUGACCGGGAGCCCCGGGGUCCUGGAGAAGGAUCGCCACUACAGCUGGAGCAGCACCCUGACCCUCCCUGUCGACCAGUGGAAGAAGGUGGGCUCUGUGACCUGUGAGGCCACCCAGGGCUCCCAGUCUCCUCUCUCUGAGACACUGAGGAGAGACCAGUGUUCUGAUUAAUGAGCUCCCCCCUUUGACUCCAGUGUGGCCUGGAGCUGGAUCCUGUGUGGGAAUCCUUCCUCCAGCUGGAGCUUUUAGCAUAGUGGAACAAAGAAGAGAACACAUGUCUGAAUAGAUCUGCUUGGCUUUCAUAUCAUGUGUUCUGAACCUUAUUACCAUAAUGCUGUUGUUUCUGACAUGUUGAGACAAUAAAGACGUUCAAAAUGUUAAA